rnacentral:piRNA from 1 species
UCUACACAUGGGCUCUGAGUGAACUUUCU